UACGUAGGGGGCGAGCGUUGUCCGGAUUUAUUGGGCGUAAAGAGCGUGUAGGCGGCCAGGUAGGUCCGUUGUGAAAACUCGAGGCUCAACCUCGAGACGUCGAUGGAAACCAUCUGGCUAGAGUCCGGAAGAGGAGAGUGGAAUUCCUGGUGUAGCGGUGAAAUGCGCAGAUAUCAGGAGGAACACCAAUGGCGAAGGCAGCACUCUGGGACGUGACUGACGCUGAGACGCGAAAGCGUGGGGAGCAAACAGG
rnacentral:rRNA from 1 species